ensembl:lncRNA
ACCCCAAUUAAUGGGGGUUAAAUUAAUGGGAACCCUAAUUAAUGAGAACCCAAUUUAAUAAGAACCCCAAUUAACCGGAACCGCAAUUAAUAAGCACCCCACCCAAUGGCAAACCACGGCCAUGGGAAGGCAAAGCAAUGGGAACCCACAUCAACGGGGAGCCAAGUCAAGAGGGGACCACAAUUAAUGAGAAGCACAAUUAACGGGGAUGAAAUUAAUGGGGACACAAAUAAACGAGAACCCAUAUUAACGAGAAUCCAAAGUAAUGAGAACCCAAAUUAACGAGAGCCCCACCCAAUGGCAAACCACGGCAAUGGGAAGGCAAACCAAUGGGAACCCACAUCAAUGGGGAGCCAAGACAAUUAAUGAGAAACACAAUUAACGGGGGUUAAAUUAAUGGGAACCCUAAUUAAUGGGAACCCAAUUUAACGAGAACCCCAAUUAAUAAGAACGCCACUCUGUGGCAAACCACGGCCAUGGGAAGGCAAAGCAAUGGGAACCCACAUCAAUGGGGAGCCAAGUCAAGAGGGGACCACAAUUAAUGAGAAGCACAAUUAACGGGGAUGAAAUUAAUGGGAACUCUAAUUAACGAGAACCCAUAUUAACGAGAAUCCAAAGUAAUGAGCACCCAAAUUAAUGAGAGCCCAAUUCAUGGCAAAGCUCAUUAAUGGGAAUGGAAAGGAACGAGAACCCACAUCAAUGGUGAGCCAAGGACCCCAAUUAACAGCAACCCCAAUUAAUGGGGACUUAAACUAAUGGGAACCCAAAUUAACGAGAACCCCAGUUAAUGAGAACCCACUUAAUGGCAAAGCUCAUUAAUGGGAAUGCAAACAAAUGAAUCCCUUCAUUCAAUGACAACCCAAAGCAAGAGGGGACCCCGAUUAACGGGAACCCGAAUUAAUGGGUCUUAAAUUAAUGGCUACCCCAAUUAAUGAGACCUAAAAUUAAUGAGACCUAAAAUUAACGAGACCUAAAAUUAAUGAGAACCCAAUUAAUGGCAAAACUCAUUAACAAGAAUGCAAACCAAUGAGAACCCUCAAUCAACGGCAACCCAAACCAAGAGGGGACCCCAAUUAAGGGAAUCCCAAUUAAUAGGUCAUAAAUUAACGGCUACCCGAAUUAAUGAGCCUUAAAUUAAUGGUUACCCUCAUUAAUGAGACCUAAAACUAACGAGAACCCCAAUUAAUGGCAAAGCUCAUCAAUGGGAAUGUAAACCAAUGGGAACCCGCAAUCAAUGGCGACCCAAACCCAGAGGGGACCCCAAUAACGGGAAUCCCAAUUAAUUGGUCAUAAAUUAAUGGCUACCCGAAUUAAUGAGUCUUAAAUUAAUGGUUACCCUCAUUAAUGAGAC